rnacentral:misc_RNA from 1 species
GAUGAAGAACGUAGCGAAAUGCGAUAAGUAAUGCGAAUUGCAGAAUUUCCGUGAAUCAUCGAAUCUUUGAACGCACAUUGCGCCCCAUGGUAUUCCGUGGGGCAUGCCUGUUCGAGCGUCAUUUACCCCCUCAAGCUCCGCUUGGUGUUGGGCGUCUGUCCCGCUUCGCGCGCGGACUCGCCCCAAAGGUAUUGGCAGCGGUCGUGCCAGCUUCUCGCGCAGCACAUUGCGCUUCUCGAGGCACCGGUGGGCCCGCGUCCAUCAAGCUCACCCCCCCAGUUUGACCUCGGAUCAGGUAGGGAUACCCGCUGAACUUAAGCAUAUCAAUAAGCGGAGGA